rnacentral:rRNA from 1 species
AGUGAACGCUGGCGGUAGGCCUAAUACAUGCAAGUCGAACGGCCGCACAGUAAGCGCUUGCCCUUACGGGUGGCGAGUGGCGGACGGGUGAGGAAUAGAUCGGCAUCUACUUUUUCGUGGAGGAUCACGUAGGGCCACUUACGCUAAUACCGCAUACGAUCUACGGGUGAAAGCAGGGGAUCUUCGGACCUUGCGCGUCUCAUUGAGAUGAUGUCGGACUACAUUGUCGGCGGGGUAAAGGACCACCAAGCCGACGGUACGUAGCUCGUCUGAGCGGAUGGUCAGCCACACUUGAACUUGGGCACGGGCCAGACUCCUACGGGAGGCAGGAGGGGGGAAUAUUGGAGAAUGGGCGCAAGCCUGAUCCAGCCAUACCGCGUGGGUGAAGAAAGCCUUCGGGUUGUAAAGCCCUUGUGUUGGGGAAGAAAAGCAUCAGGUUAAUACCCCGCUGGUCUGGAGGUACCCAAAGAAUAAAGACCCGCUAACUUCGUG